AAGUAUUGAUAUAUACUACAAUGUACAUAUAAAAAACAUUAUGCUAAGUGAAAGAAGCCAGACACAAAGGUCGCAUAUGGUUCCAAUUAAAUAAAAUAUCCAGAAUAAACCCACAGAGACAGAAAACAGAUUAAUGGUUGCCUGGGGCUGGAGGGAAAAGGGAGUUGAGAGUAAUUGCUUAAUGGCUAUAGGUUUCCUUUUGAGGUAUGAAAUGUCUGGACCUAGAAAGAGGUGGCAGUGGCACAACACUGACCUGUGUACUAGAUACCACUGAGUUGUUCACUUUAAAAUGGUUAGUUUUAUGCUAUGUGAAUGUCACCUUAAGAAAGAAAAUAUAUUUGCAAAAUUCAAAUAUAAAGAAAGAAUGGGUCCAACGCCUUAACAUCAGGUGGGGUAGAAUUUAGAUAUCUAAAAUACUAAAUUCAAAUAAAUAAAUAAAAUACUAAAUAAAUAAAUACUAAAUUCAAUCCACGCAAUUUUUAAGUGGCUCCAAUGUAUGCAAUGUGUAUAACAAACCAUUUAAAUGCUCUUUAGUAAUGUGGCCACCUGACACUUUUAAACAGAACUUAUAACUAAGAGCUGAAAACCACUUAAACAAGCAAGCGUUUGUUGGACCGAGGUCAUGAACAUUUGGAAAGCAUGAGAACUGGCAGCCUUCUUGAGUUAGUUCCAGGUUGGGCACCAUUCAGCUCUGGAUAAGCUCCUGAAGCUCGCUGGGUCUCAGCUUCUUCAUAUGUAAAAGGAGAGGGUUGGACAAGAUCAUCAGUAAGUCUCCUUUUUGUUACAAAAAGAAGUUCAUGCAAUCUACUCCCCAAGACAGAAUGGAAAAAGGAAAAGCCUUUGAGGAAACAAAUUUCACCUGCCAGUGAUGAAGGCUGGCAAGAACAGCACUUUCUAAAGCAGCCAGGACAGAAUGGUCUACAGAUGAAAAAUUAACCCCAAAGUCAAGUCACACCUGGAAGAGAAUUGCUGUCAAACAUCAACAUCUUGGUACAAAUGUUAUUUGCGUUUUUUGGAAAACAUCCGAUGUGGCUUAGGAGUGAGCAAAAAUCCUCCCUCUAAACAAAUAGCUUAGGUGAAAAGCUUUGAUAACUUACCAAUACCUAGUAAGUGUGUUGAAGUCUAUUUUUUUUUAAACCAAAAUUCACCUAAAGAGCACAGUACAUAAGGAAACAGUGAUUAGUCACAAGCCCCAGAUAUGAGUCUUACUGCCAUCAUUGAUGAAUAAAUAUUACUAGCUCACAAUGAUAAAACCAGCAGCAACCCAAUCUGCUCCAUGAUUUUCUUAUACUUGAGUGCAACUGCUAAUUCUGUAUAAAUAUAAGCAGAAAAAUAGCUUUUGGAAAUCUUAAAACAAAGCUUAUUUUCUGCCACUAUCCACCCACAACCAUCUGCCAGGCUAUGGAUUAAAGAUGACAGCAACCUCCUAAGGAAGCUUCCUGGGGAAAACUGGUUUCUUACUCUCUAGGUCAAUCAUUUUAAGCAUAAUUAAACUAUUUUAGACUGUAAAUCUGUUUUUUACUAAGUCCAAGAGAAAUGAAACUAUGUUUAGUGGUCACCAAAAUAACAAUAAAAAGGAAUAAAAAAUAAAAAGGACAUCUUUUGAUUCUGAAGCAUUCACUGUUAUUCAUUCACUUAUUAUAUUCAGCAAAUAUUUCAACAACUACCAUGUGCCAGGCUCCGUGUUGAGUGCAGGACAUAUAGCAGAGAACACGACCCUGCCAUCUUAAGGCUCAUGAAGCAGAAGAAAAGACUAGUAAAUAUUUUAAACUUUAAAUAUUUCCUUCAUAUCACUCACAGAUAAGAGGCUGAGACAGAGCGUAACAGAGGAUGGUCAGAGAGCACCUCUCUGAAAAGGGAAUGCUUGUGUCCUAAAGGGCAGAAGGAGCUAGCUAAUGGGCAGAGAGGAGUAGUCUAGGCAGAAGGAAUGCCCGUGCACAAAGGACCAGAUCCAUCAGUGGGCUCAAGUGUGGUGAGAAGAUAAAAUACUCGGAAUGAGUCUGGAGAGGAAGGCAGCACAAAACAUCUUAUAGGCAUGGUAAGACUCUGGAUUUAAAUGCAAUGGGAAGCGAUGGAAGGGUUUUUAGGAGACAGCUGAGAUAAUCUGAUUUUUGAAAGGGUAACAUUUACUACCACGCGAAUUGACUGGAAAUGGGUGAGAAUGGAAGUGGGAAGAGGUGCUGCAGCGCAGAGAAAAAUAGGUGAACUCAAUAUGUGCUUUGGAGCUCAGUUCAAAAGACGGGCUGUAAGAGGGGCUGGGAUGAGGAAAGGGAGCAAUCAGGAGGACUCUCAGAUGUCCUGUCUGAGGUGGCAAAGAUGGGGUGAGUGGUGGUGGGAUGGAGGGGUGGUGCUAACAGUUGGGAGUUUGCAGGCAAAAGACUACAUCGUAAAUCUGGGCAUGUCUAUGAGACUUUCAAGUGCUGGUGUCACAAAGCACUGGAUAUAGAAGAAUGGACUUUGGAGCAGAAUUGGGGACAAAGAUAAAAAUUUUAAAGACCCCAGAUAAAGAUAGUACUCAAAUCAGUGACGGGGAAGAGUACAGAGAAAAAGAGAAGCCCCAAAUGCUAUGUGAAUAUUGAGUAAGCACAAUAGCACAAUUCUCCUAAGACGGCUUCUUUUUUUUUCUUUUUCUCUUUCUCUUUGCUUUUUUGGGCCACACCUGAGGCACAUGGACGUUCCCAGGCUGGGGGUCGAAUCAGCUACAGCUUCUGGCCUAUACCACAGCUAUAGCCACAGAGGAUCUGAGUCUCGUCUGCGACUGACGCUGCAGCUCACGACAAUGCCAGAUCCUUAACCCACUGAGCAGGGCCAGAGAUCAAACACGCAUUCUCAUGGAUACUAGUCAGGUUCACCACUGAGCCACAGCAUGAACUCCAACAAUUAUUUUUCUAAAGCAAGCAUACAAUCUCAAAACGUUAAAGGAGCACGGAAAAGCACUUGUUAUAAGAAAUCCUUCAUAAGGAUUCUAGUGGCCAUGGAGCUUGUUCAGUGAGAGACAUUUUUUGUAGGCCCUUGGAGCUAAUGCGCCUGGGAAAAUAAUUUAACCCUCCUUAUUUCACAGCUAAGGAAAUAAAUCUAGAGCUUUUCCAUAAAGUUACUUGUCUGUGGUCACAACUAAUCAACAGAACGAUUAAACAAAUCAUUCCCAACCUUAGUUGCAAUCAACAAACACCAUCUGGUGAACUUAACAAAAAACCAACCAACAGACCAAUCACACGAGCAAACACACGAAAGAACCAAAAAAUUCUGGUACCUGGAUCUACUUUUGGCAAUCUUGAUUCAAUCAGCCUGGGACAAGACCCACGCACCUGUACUUUUAAAAGCUCUCCGGGGGUGCUUCUGAUGGCUGCAAGUACAGGACAAGAGGAGCCCAGGGUUUCUGAGCCACAUCUUCAUUACCUUUUGCCUCCUCACUGCUAAACACUCAUCACCUGUAUUUCCUUACCAACCAAAACUGCUCAAGCUCCACCUCUGCAUGGUUCUUCUGAAGGACGUUAGAACCGUCAGGACCCAAAUCCUCCUCCCUGAUUGCGACCCAGUCUUCUUUGGCCUCAUCCUCCCCCCACUUUCCCCUGGCCACAUAGAUACUGAGGACUCAGAUAUGCACACUUUUCUUCUUUCCAGUCUUACUGCUUCGCUAGGUGACCUCAUCCACUCGUUUCCACAAGGCCUUCGUGCUGAUGACCGGAGCCAGACUUAUCUCCAGACCUCUUGCCUAACAUCCAGGCCUGAGGGAUUUGACUUACUUAUAAAACAGCAAAAUAUUUGCAUUAGAGAGGACCUUAAACUGUUUAUCUAUAAAAACAUGUCGUCCCAUUGAGGUUAAUCCAAGGUACUGAGAAGGCGAGUGGUAGUGGGAUGAGGCUAACCCACUUACACAGAUGUGGCCCCAUAAUUCCUGUCUCCUAGCAUCUAUGCCUUUGUCUAAUUUCCACCCGAGUGUGGGCCAGACAUGCGACUUGCUUCUAAGGUAUAGAAUAUGGCAAAAGUGAAAGGAAUUUACAGAUGUGACUAAGGUCUUUAAUUAGCUGAUGGUGCUAAUCAAAGCGGAAUAGGCUGCACCGGCCUGAUGACAGACGAGCUUUUCAGGAGGGCCUCGGCCUUCCCUGAAGCAAGAGACUUCAUACAGCACAAACUCUCUUCCACCGCUAGCUUUGAAGAAGUGAACUGCUGUGAACUCUACAGCCACAAAGAAGCAGAUCCUGUCUACAAUCUGAAUCAUUUUAGAAGUAGAUCAUCCGCUCUGUGAGCCUCCAGAGAACACAAGAGCAGCUGCCACCUUGAUUUCAGCCUUGUGCCGGACUCCUACCUCACAUUGUAACGUGUGUUAGUUUGUAUGACACUUUAUUACUCAGUAGAUAACUAAUAUAGAUGCUUCAUGUUAAAAACUGAAAUCCUGCAUCUUGGCCAUUCCUAAUUUGGGUUUAUUUGGUCACUGACCAAGACCUUAGGACAGUGAGAAGAGCAUUUAAGAGAUAGGCAUUAGUAAGACAGGAGCUGUGUAUGCCCAUGACACCCAGGGGUCCUGGAAUGAGCAGGAGAAGAACACAGUGUUUUUUCUAUACACUGAUGGUUAAAGAAUUUCAACCAUGGCAAAUGGAAAAUGUCAUUGCUCUAGAACAUGCUGUUCAUCAAAUCAGGAGUUUGUAAACUGCAGGUGAUUUUUUUUUCAGAUUGGUGUCAAUUUCUUUUGUUCUAGCAGUGGAACGUAACUGCAGAAUCCCAGGCUUUCCUAAGGAUAACGAGUGUUUUUUCUGAGGGAGGGUCAGUGUUCAGAGAUAUUUUAUCAGCUUUUUGAUCCGAUGUCACCAUGCAAUGAUAGGAGUUCCUGUCGUGGCUCAGUGGAUUAAGGACCUGACGUUGCCUAAGGAUGCAGGUGUGAUCCCUGGCUUUGCUCAGUGUUAAGGAUUUGGUGCUGCUGUAAGCUGUGGCAUGGGUCACGGAUGCAGCUCCAAUCUGGUGCUGCCAUGGCUGUGGUGUAAGCUGCAGCUGUACCUCUGAUUUGACCUCUAGUCUGGCAACUGCCAUAUGCCUCAGGUACAGCCAUUAAAAAAAAAAAAAAAAAAAAAAAAAA
rnacentral:lncRNA from 1 species